UCAUGCUGUGAGGCUCAAAUGCCUCAUGUUGAGCAGCUAAAUAUUUUCCUGCCCCAUGUGUCCAUUUCUAAUUUGAAUCUCUCUGUGACUACUGUCCACCUGAUUAAUUUAGAUGUGACCAGCAGAGUCCCUGGGUAAAAUGUCAGUGUCAGGAGCCUCUGCUGUGCAAAGGCUGCCAGCCAAUCCCUACCACGGCAGGGAGGAAUGCCCACACAGCCACCACUAUUCACAGCAACGCCUCGGCAAACUCUGCGACCUCAUUCUCUAUUUCAACGCAUGCUGGGUAGCAAAAAGCCUACAGACUUUCCAAAAAGAUCUGUGAUCAGGAAAGUUCAUUACUUUGAAAACUGCCUUUUUGACACUGUCUUUUGAAGUUUUGCAAAGCAGAAGUGUAGGGGACACCAGGACUGCCUCCAGGACACCAGACUCCGACUGCCAUCUCUGGGAACAGAUCCAGCAGGCUGCACUAGUGCAAAAGAGUACACUAGCUACUAUAAAAUAGGAAGUAUGUUUUCAAUUCAGAAGGAAGCAAUCAACUGAUCACACCAAGAAGUCACAUCUACUCAUUCCAGGGGGACCUUCAAGGUGCUGGUCUGGAUUUCAUAAGGUGCUUGAUAGUGAAGGGCCCACCUGGGUAAGCAGUGCUUUUUUUCUCCCUGUGUGUGACUGAAGAAAUAGAUGGGCAUUUUUCAUUUCGUUUUGGAUUUGGGUUUUUACAGCUGCAUCAGAAGUUGAGCUGCAGGCGCAUGGUCUAAAGCUGUGCUCCUACCACAGCCUGACACAUCGCCACUCGUGGAGCUGCUGGGAACUGCAUGUACAUUAAGUAUCAGAGGUUCUCGCUUCUUAAUGUUUAUCUUAUAUAUGUACUCAAUGACUAAGGAAAAGAGGCUUGUUCAUUUCUAUUUGCUAGCCUGAUUUUCAAAGUCUCUUAUUACCUACACACUCCCUGUUGUGUUCCAAGAAAUCUGAGUGCUGAGCACUUCCAAAGAGCAGGUGAAAAGAGAAGUGCACAUUUCUACAUACAGAGUCUAACCUGCAACAAAUAUUUAAAUAAUGUCAUUAAAAACAAGGGCAAAUUUAAAGAGGUUCUGAGAAGGUCUGAGAAAUUAUGACUGCUGCUGAGUGUGUAAAAGUUUCCUGUGAAUGCUUCACAGAAAUUUCCUGUUAGAAAAAAACAGAAAAAAAAAAAAACAAACAAAAAAGAGGUGAUCUGUACACAGUUCACUGUCACAAGACAGCUACAUACACUGACAUUACAGCAUGGGGCUGUCAGUUAAACAAAAAGCAACUAAUUCUGCAUCAUGAAACUGCGCAGAUGCAUAAAGGGUAAAGAGAAGCAGAGCACAAGUUUGCAUGCUGCCCGUUAUGCAGAAAAGAAAGAACAAUUUAAGUAUUUACUGUAACUGUGCAAUACCCCACAGCAGUUCAGGAAGGGCUGCAGAGGGGAGAAAAGUAUUCUAGAAACAUAACAGGGAUUUCCAUAUGACUUUCACUGCUUUUAGGGUAUUUUAACAUU